rnacentral:rRNA from 1 species
UACAGAGGUGGCAAGCGUUGUUCGGAAUUACUGGGCGUAAAGGGCGCGUAGGCGGCCUUCUAAGUCGGACGUGAAAUCCCCAGGCUUAACUUGGGAACUGCGUCCGAUACUGGAGGGCUUGAGUGCGGGAGAGGGAUGUGGAAUUCCAGGUGUAGCGGUGAAAUGCGUAGAUAUCUGGAGGAACACCGGUGGCGAAGGCGGCAUCCUGGACCGACACUGACGCUGAUGCGCGAAAGCCAGGGGAGCAAACGGG